AGAGUUUGAUCCUGGCUCAGGAUGAACGCUGGCGGCGUGCUUAACACAUGCAAGUCGAGCGAAGCACUUAUGACGAUCCUUCGGGUGAAUCAUUUGUGACUGAGCGGCGGACGGGUGAGUAACGCGUGAGUAACCUGCCUCAUACAGGGGAAUAACAGUUAGAAAUGACUGCUAAUGCCGCAUAAGCGCACAGGGCCGCAUGGCCCGGUGUGAAAAACUCCGGUGGUAUGAGAUGGACUCGCGUCUGAUUAGCUAGUUGGCAGGGUAACGGCCUACCAAGGCGACGAUCAGUAGCCGGCCUGAGAGGGUGAACGGCCACAUUGGGACUGAGACACGGCCCAAACUCCUACGGGAGGCAGCAGUGGGGAAUAUUGCACAAUGGGGGAAACCCUGAUGCAGCGACGCCGCGUGAGUGAAGAAGUAUUUCGGUAUGUAAAGCUCUAUCAGCAGGGAAGAAAAUGACGGUACCUGACUAAGAAGCCCCGGCUAACUACGUGCCAGCAGCCGCGGUAAUACGUAGGGGGCAAGCGUUAUCCGGAUUUACUGGGCGUAAAGGGAGCGUAGACGGCUUUGCAAGUCUGACGUGAAACUCCGGGGCUCAACUCCGGAACUGCGUUGGAAACUGUAAGGCUUGAGUGCCGGAGAGGUAAGCGGAAUUCCUAGUGUAGCGGUGAAAUGCGUAGAUAUUAGGAGGAACACCAGUGGCGAAGGCGGCUUACUGGACGGCAACUGACGUUGAGGCUCGAAAGCGUGGGGAGCAAACAGGAUUAGAUACCCUGGUAGUCCACGCGGUAAACGAUGAAUACUAGGUGUUGGGGGACAAAGUCCUUCGGUGCCGCCGCAAACGCAUUAAGUAUUCCACCUGGGGAGUACGUUCGCAAGAAUGAAACUCAAAGGAAUUGACGGGGACCCGCACAAGCGGUGGAGCAUGUGGUUUAAUUCGACGCAACGCGAAGAACCUUACCAAGUCUUGACAUCCUGCGACGGUGCUGGAAACAGUACUUUCCUUCGGGACGCAGAGACAGGUGGUGCAUGGUUGUCGUCAGCUCGUGUCGUGAGAUGUUGGGUUAAGUCCCGCAACGAGCGCAACCCUUAUGGUCAGUUACUACGCAAGAGGACUCUGGCCAGACUGCCGUUGACAAAACGGAGGAAGGUGGGGAUGACGUCAAAUCAUCAUGCCCUUUAUGACUUGGGCUACACACGUACUACAAUGGCGUUAAACAAAGAGAAGCAAGACCGCGAGGUGGAGCAAAACUCAGAAACAACGUCCCAGUUCGGACUGCAGGCUGCAACUCGCCUGCACGAAGUCGGAAUUGCUAGUAAUCGCAGAUCAGCAUGCUGCGGUGAAUACGUUCCCGGGCCUUGUACACACCGCCCGUCACACCAUGAGAGCCGGGGGGACCCGAAGUCGGUAGUCUAACCGCAAGGAGGACGCCGCCGAAGGUAAAACUGGUGAUUGGGGUGAAGUCGUAACAAGGUA
rnacentral:rRNA from 1 species